UCGGCUCACAAGAUUAUGGAGGCUGAGAAAGACCCAUGAUCUGCCGUCUGCAAGCUGAAGACCCAGCAAAGCCAGUGGUGUAAUUCAUUUGGGGUCUGAAGGCCUGAGACCCAGGGGAGCUGAUGAUAUAAAUCCCAGUCUGGGGGCUUGACGUGAUGAGAUGAGAUGUCCGAGCUCUAGCAGUGAGCCUUGACCAGCUUUGAGGACAGCUCUGGAGCACUCCUGUGGGGUCGUGAUGGUCACAUCCCUGCCACUACAGCAUAAGACUUCCCUUCCUAGUCGUUGCCGGCUAUUACAUUUUGGGCCACCUUUGGAGACAUUGGAUACCUCUGAACACAGUUCACCGGAACAGCAUCAAGGAGUGCAAAGUGCAAAGGAGUAGAAAGCGAAGGGAAAGACCCCUUCUUAUCUUCAGACCAGACUCUCAUGUGCUUUUGUGGAAUAAGUAUUUUGUACCAGGACUGGACAACAAAGUGGGUUCCUGAUGAGAGAAGAUGAAAGGAAUGACCGCGUGGCCAGGAUGGGGAUAUCAAAGGCCGCCCUCUCUUCCCUCUGGC